rnacentral:rRNA from 1 species
UAGCAUAUCAAUAAGCGGAGGAAAAGAAACCAACCGGGAUUGCCUCAGUAACGGCGAGUGAAGCGGCAAGAGCUCAAAUUUGAAAUCUGGCCCCUCCGGGGUCCGAGUUGUAAUUUGCAGAGGAUGCUUCGGGUGUGGCCCCUGUCUAAGUGCCCUGGAACGGGCCGUCAGAGAGGGUGAGAAUCCCGUCUUGGGCAGGGUGCCCAUGCCCGUGUGAAGCUCNUUCGACGAGUCGAGUUGUUUGGGAAUGCAGCUCUAAAUGGGUGGUAAAUUUCAUCUAAAGCUAAAUACCGGCCGGAGACCGAUAGCGCACAAGUAGAGUGAUCGAAAGAUGAAAAGCACUUUGAAAAGAGAGUUAAACAGCACGUGAAAUUGUUGAAAGGGAAGCGCUUGCGACCAGACUCGGCCUCGGGGUUCAGCCAGCACUCGUGCUGGUGUACUUCCCCGGGGGCGGGCCAGCGUCGGUUUGGGCGGCCGGUCAAAGGCCCCAGGAAUGUAUCACCCUCCGGGGUUGUCUUAUAGCCUGGGGUGCAAUGCGGCCAGCCUGGACCGAGGAACGCGCUUCGGCACGGACGCUGGCAUAAUGGUUGCAAACGACCCGUCUUGAAACACGGACCAAGGAGUCUAACAUCUACGCGAGUGUUCGGGUGUCAAACCCGUACGCGCAGUGAAAGCGAACGGAGGUGGGAGCCCCCUCGGGGCGCACCAUCGACCGAUCCUGAUGUCUUCGGAUGGAUUUGAGUAAGAGCGUAGCUGUGGGGACCCGAAAGAUGGUGAACUAUGCCUGAAUAGGGCGAAGCCAGAGGAAACUCUGGUGGAGGCUCGCAGCGGUUCUGACGUGCAAAUCGAUCGUCAAAUUUGGGUAUAGGGGCGAAAGACUAAU